AAUAAAUGCCUUUUAGAUCAAAUAUUAAUGAUCUUAACCAGUUUCAAAAUAAGUCAAACCACCACACUUCCGCUGCACUCUCUGAUUUAAUUCAUUUAAUUCUCUAAAGUCACAAAAUGAUUUCUGACUAAAGUAUCAUUUUGCAUUGAAACUAAGAAACUCCAAAUUUCAAAUUUCCAAGUAGAACUAGAGCAAAACUUCUAGAUCUUUUUGUCCUCAAUUUAUAU
rnacentral:lncRNA from 1 species